CUCUCCUGGAACUCACUCUGUAGACCAGGCUGGACUCGAGCUCAGAAAUCUGCCUGCCUCUGUCUCCUGAGCGCUGGGAAUAAAUGCGUGUGCCAGUACACCCGGCUCGCAGCCAUUAUUGAUGGAAGAUAUGCCACUGAUCAUUAAUGUAUCAGAGAUUAUUUUCCUCUUAAACAAAACUAUUAGUUGAGACUAACUUUAUUAAACCAGUUUUAUUUAUAUUUGCAACUUGUAUAUUCAACAUUUCAAAUUUAAAUAGAAGUAAAAUGUUUUAAAGCGCUAAAGAUAUACGUGUAUAGUAUGUCUGUGCAAAUGAAAUGUCUGAGAGUGUAAUAAUCCAGAUCUCAGAGAUGUUCGCCAUCUUUGCUACAGUGAGCUCAUUCUGCCAUCUUCACUACAGGGAACUCACAAACUGCUGUGUUGUGGCUCUUCAGCUUCCUAAAGUCGCAGAAUUCCCUCCAGUUUAAUUGGAGCUUUACCUGCACAUCUGGAUUUGUGAGACAGAAGAUUCUAUGAUUACAACUGCUUUUGUGGAGAAAGCCAUACCUACAGAGUAGAGCUGAUAGACUCCUGACAGGUGAUUUGGUUAUCUUCUUUUUGCUUAUUUUUCUUAUUGCUUAAGAGACAGACAAUGGCAGAGAAAAAUCAUCAUAGGAGGGAACAAGAUUGUAGCAGAAAAACAACAUGCAAGGAAAAGACAGAGCAGAGAGAGAGAGAGAGAGAGAAGAUUUUACCCCAAUAUUACUGCACCAAAAUGUAGUAGACUACAGAAUAAAAAGCCUCUCAUCAUAUUCAGGACUGCUCCUCAUGAACAGGACAUUCUAAGAGAACGAACAGAAUAUGACAGUGCUCAAGAGUGAAGAGUGAUAGAACUAGUAAUGAUUAUUUCUAUUGCUAACGAUCAUGUCAUCUUAUUUGAAGAUGUGUGGUUAUUGUCAUGUGACAAAAUCAUUACUUCUCCCAAGGAAAUAAGUGUGUGUGUGUGUGUGUGUGUGUGUGUGUGUGUGUGUGUGUGUGUGCAUAUGCAAGCAUUUGGACAUGCACUUUAUGAUGAAAAGCUGUGGUGAUUUAAAUGAGAGUGACUCCCAUAGACUCAAAUGUUUGAAUGUUUGGUCCCCAGCUUGUGAAUUGUAUGUGAAGGAAGAGGAGGUGUUUCCUUAUUGUAGCAAGUGUGUCACUGGUUUAAGGUUUCAAAGCCCAUGAUAGACACACUUUCUCUCUCCCUCUUCCUCCUCUCUCCAUCUCCCUCUCCCUCUCUCCAUCCCUCUCUCCCCUCUCUCCCCCUCUCUCCUUCUUUCUCUCCCUCUCCCCCUCUCCCCCUCUCUCCCUCUCCUCCUCUCUCCCUCUCUCCCUCCCCAUCUUCUCCUCUUCAUUCUCCCACUCCCCUCUUCCCCCCUCUCUUUCUCUCUCUCUCUGCUUCAUCAGCACCAUUCCUGCUUCCAUGCUUCCCACUUUGAUGAUCAUGACUGAUGGUCAUUCUGAACCUAUAAGCAAACCACCUCUUAAAUGUUUAAUUCUGUAUAUUGCUUCCGUCACAGUGUCUCUUCACAGCAAUUGAAUGGUAUCUAAGACAAAGGAUCAAAAUUUUAUGACCACAAGGCUAAAGUUAAUGACAAGGAAGAAUAAAAAUGUAUCUGGCCAUUCUUGGACCACAGGAUCUUUAUGACCAGGGAUGUCUAGCAUUUGAAGAUAAGGCAAACUUUUUAAUGGAAAAGAAUGUGAUGUUUCCAGGUGAAGGCUUUCUGGCUUUUUUUGCCCAGUGAGACACAGGAAAGUCCUGGCUGAGAGCCAGGAGGAAAGGUCAUGGGUCAGCAAAAGGAUGGGUAGUGGUGUGAACAUACAGAGACAGUUUUCACCAACCUGAGUCAAAGUUUUAAAAUACGGGUAGAUUUGUUAAAAUGAGAAAUUCUGAUAAAAAUUAGCUCAUCUGUGUGAGACAAACAUUCUUUAGACUGUCCUCGUGUGAGACAUGGAAGUCUCACAAUUAAGAUAGGAACUGACAAUUUUCAAGCAAAUUCUGAGAUAAAACCGAUGUUUUAAAAAUGUCUUGUGUUCAACCUGACUUUCAGUAGAAAAUAAAUUCCAGUUCCUCUAUAAAAACAACUUGGCAUUUUUCAGUAAUACUUUUUAAUGAGGAUUGCUGUGAGCUAUAAUAUAAUGAAGUUUGUUUAAAAGUAGAGCAGACUGGUAAUACUUGCCAUAACAAUGAGGCAUAUGGUAAAACAGUUGUGAUUUACUGGCAUAAGCUUUCAGUUUUUGGAAACCUAGAGGCUUUCUGCAUAGUGGACUCUGCCUUGAUAUUCUGUUUUGAAAAGGAAACAAAGCAAAACAAUAUGCUCAGAUUACACGUUUUGUAUGUAUUUACAACAUUUUCCCUUUAGUUUUAUGGCUAUAAAUAUGGGUUGUGAUCAUAUUGAAAAGUAGAGGACAGUUGAGACGAUUUCUCUGAUGAUUCAUAUUCUAUAAAACUUAAAUAUACUAGACAUAUAGGAAACUUAACAUAUAGAAAAUUGUGGCAUUUUAAAACACAAGGAAUUGAUUCAGUGUUAUCAUUGAUAAGUACGGGAUCUUGAAUUCUGGCUCUCACACACGUACUUUGAGAUUGUUAAAGUCAGUUAGAGCAUUUACACAUGAGUGCCAGGAACAGGAAUGUGCUACACUACCAAAGUCAAUCACACAUGAAGUCAGAGUCUCAUAAAACGGGAAUCUCCAUGCAGACCUCAGUGACAAGCCAGUAGACAGCAUUUCCAGUACCAAAACAAAGGAGCAGGUUGCUUUUGUUUUUAUCACCGUAGAGAUUCCAAAGGAAUAGUGAAUGCAUCACCUACCCACUUUCUUUUUAUAGUAUAUUAAUUUAAUAUUUUUAUAAAAGCCAUAUAUUUUCCUGUAUGUUCUAUUGUUUUUACUGCUGCUCUAUUUAACUAGUAUGCAUAUUCCUGCAGGAAUUCCCUAACUUGUCAUCAUGAAUGUAUUAUAACAGAAAUGGAAACAAGCUAGCUGCUAAAUGGCUUUCCUCUGGUUUCAUUAAUUUGUGUUUGUGUCUUGUCACUCACACUUUGCACACAGUUAGAAAUGUAUAUCUGUGAAAAUUCUCCCACUUAGGGAUUACCUUGUCAGGCAGCAUGAUAUAAUCAUUUUAUUUUAUCCCCCCACCAUCAGUUUUAUGAAAACUCCCCAAAACAUACAUUUCCAAUUUUACCUUUUCUAUCAUUUAUUUUCUUUCUUUACAGAUAAUCUCCUUUUGUAGCAGAUUCAGGAGAGAGGUAAAAACAGAUCACUAGAAGGGCUAUAAAGUUGAUAAUAAUCAUACUACCCAGUGAUGGCCACCUGUGAGGGGUGACAGAGCCCUCAGAGUUUCACUGCUAGCUACAUGAUAAACAUGGAGACAGGUGUGGGAGUGGUUAUUGGUAGACUCUCUGAGAGUAUCAUCUUUUUUCCCUCUUUUGUGCUGGUCACAAGGACAAACACUAUAUAAAGAGCAUCACUUUUGUUUUUCCUGGUGAAUAAUAUUUGUGAUUUCCACAACACCUGUCCCUGUCCUACACAUAGAUUAAAGCCUUUGGGGCAUACCAUUUCAGCCCUUUCAACUUAAUCAGUUCAUAUUUACUCUGAAAUCUUAGUCAUCUUGAAAACCUUAAUAAAACCUCCAUCCUUUACUUCGGCCCCAAAGGCUGAAAGAAAAAAAACAAUGUAUAUAUUUGAUAAAAGUUCAAAUACUAAACCUAUAACGUUUUAAGCAAGUGAGUAAAAUAAAAAAUGAAUUUUACAUAAUAUAGUUGUGUGAGCAUGAAUAUUUUCAUCAGGUUAAGUGUAAUAAAUAGACCAUAUGAGUUACAACACACUUUGAAUACUGUUUGCAUGAAAGCUAGGCUAUACUUUGGAAUCAAAUAUAUGUGGCUAUCAAAUAUUAAUGUCUAACAUGGGGCAGAUUUAAAAAUCAGAAGGCAUUUGUUUCCCAUGAUAAGCAAGUUUCAGAGAGUGACAAAUCACUGCUAGUACUUCCUGCUUGUCCAGAUAGUCCAAGAGUAUUCAGUUCAGUUUCUCAGAGCUUCUAGAUUCUGGAAAAAAGUCAAAGGAUGGUUGGUGGGGAAACAGCUAUUAUUGUUCCCUUUCUUUCAUAGUGCCAUGUGCAUUAGGCCUUCAGUUGAAUACAAAUAGGUAGAAAUCUGCUCUGAAAUGUAAAUUAAUAUGAGCACUGUGAAGUGGCUUCAGACUACAACGUGUAGGCUUCUCUUCAUAACAGGAGGGAGUCCUGAUUAGCAACACAACAAAGCCUACCUUAGGAUUCAUCUCUGCAAAUCUGCAGGUUUGCUGCCCUCCAGUAAGAUUUUAUGAGCAUCCGCUUGGCCAUUGGCAGAAAUACAACAGCAGUUGUCCAGAUAUCAUUUUUCUCAAUGAGCACAUGUUUAUAUGUUAAAUAAUCACAGAACCAAAUCAAUUGCAAUUUCAUUCCUGUUGGCUAAGGUUAGUGCCCUGUGCUGUGUACUUAUAUCUGUAGAAGGCUAAACAUUGCUAACCUUGAAAAGUCCUAAAGAAGUUGACUGUUUAAGUCUGAGUCAGACUUAUAAGAACCUAUAUAUGAUGUAGGACCUGAACAAAGGCUGGGCUUAGGGUAGCUGUUUUAGAGUAAGCAGACUGGGUUUGACUUCAUUCAGUUCAGUACCAAGCCCUUACCUCUUGCUGGGCAUCAUGCUGGCCUCCAUCAUGGGAAAGCCUCAGAAUGAGUCAGCGCAUUCUGUCCUAAGCAUCCUGGAGAAGAGAUGCUUUCAGAGUGCUCUGCUCUAAUGAGUGGUCUUUCAGUUCAUCUUUACUUUAGUAAGUGACUCAUUUAAUUACAUGGUGGUAAUUUCUUCCUGGCCAAGGGCAAGUAGACUGUAAAUAGGUUGCAAAGAAAUGCUUCCAUUCUUGAAUACUGGAAUCACCAUUGUGGCUGUGAAUCAUGUGCCUCCUUACAUAGUCCACAGAUCUGAGAAACUGAACAAAUAUUGCCCCAGCCUGGAGAGAUAAAAUGCAGGGUUGAGUCUGGAGUUACUUGUCUGAGAUGUAUCUGCCUCUUCGUGCUUGCUAGAAAGCUUGUAUUAUCUCACAUGCAAGGCUAUUCUAACCUCCAAAGGCAAGUGGUUCAGCCACCAGUGUGUGGCAGGUGAUUUCACUGUAUCUAUAUCAGCUUACCUCUGGACAGAGCUGGAAUCCAGUUCUAGAGAAUCCCUUUCUUUUUUUAAGUAGUGCAUAAUCACAGUCUACUGACAUAAUGUGGACUUACUAUAAAUAUAUAUGAAUGCAACCCAAAACCAAGGGCAGUUGAAGAGUAGUCAUGCUUCAAAAUAAGCUUUGCCAAUGGCCAAAAGGUAUGGUAAUAUGUUCAACACUGAUAAUAGCCAGGAAAAUACACAUGGAUCACCUCACUCCAGUUACAUUGUCUGAUAUGAAGAGCAACUGGUAACAAAUGAUGGUCAGAAUGUGGAGAAAUAAGAGUCCUUACACACUAUUGCUACCAACAGUCUAGUAUAAUGUAAGUUAUAACAGUUAUUUGGUAAAUUCUUUUCACUUUUUUCCUUGAAACACCAAAAUUUGGAAUGACCUGAACUUAACAUCAGUAGAUGAAUGAAUGAUGAAAUGGGAAACAUGUAAGUUGUGAAAUAGUCACAAAGCUAACCAUAAAAAGGAAAAAUUAGUCUGCUUACAACAAUGGGGAUAAACCCAGGAAACAUUAUGCUAAGCAAAAUAAAGCAGGACCAGAAAGAUUAAUGCUGCAUAAUUCCAUUAAUGAAUAGAAUCUGAUAUUGUUGGCCUCAUAGAACAUGAACACAGUGAAGACUAACAGGGGAUGGAGCUGUCAUAGGUUAUGGUAUGAGACUGGGUAGGUACCGAUUAAGGAUGCAGGGCUUCAGUUGAAUGGAAGUUGUUUUAAGAGAUAUAAUGAUAGUCACAACACUAUCAUAUUCGUGAAAAUUCUGGAUGUGCAUGUUAAAUGUUACCAAGUUGACCUAAAGAUAUAUAUAUAUAUAUAUAUAUAUAUAUAUAUAUAUCAGCUAUUGUCAUAUUAUAUAAUAUACACCUUCCAAAACAUCCUGGGAAAUUAUUUUUAGAUGCACUUCAAAGUUAUUCCCAGAUUGUAAAUCUUAUAAUUCUGCAAUUAGUUCUUUCAAAUUAUAAUUGAGAGUUAUUUCUUUACUACCAGUUAUUAAUAUGAAGGAAACUACUUGUAAGCACUUCAUAAAUCAGUCUUGUUUCUAAUUUCACAUUCCUUAAUGACAAGCAUGUUCUCUGCUCUAUUCUUGAGACCAGUGUCUCAAUGACUGUUUUAUUUAUUCUGAACUUCCUUUUUCCAAAUUGUUCCAAGGCUAGGCAAUUGCCAAAGGUUAGGAAUUUGUUUCUGGGAAUCAUCCAAGAGAGUGCUGGAAUCAGGAAGAGAUGUGAUGUGCCAAGAGAGAACAAGUUGUGAGUCUUUUUCUCCAUGAAACAAAGAACAGGAUUCAUUUCCUUCUGGUCUGCCAAAUGAAGAAAACCUCAGAAGCCUGCCAGUCUAGAAGAGUUUGUAAGGGAUGGGCAGGCCAUAUCUCAGGAUGAACAACUUCUAAGGCCAUUGUUGCAUCUUCAGAUAAGCAUAGUAGUUUCCUCAGAUAAAGUACAUGCAUUUUAUAUUUUAAAACACAGAUAUGUGUGUGUGUGUUUUAAUGCAGAUGCUUGCAAUCACAAAAAUAGGUUUUUUUUAAAGCAGAUUUGUGGUAGUUUAAAUAAAAUAAAUGGUAAAUUAAAAUAUCUAAGAAUGGCUUGAGAAUGUGAAAGAUAUUUUUUCAAUACUGAUUCUCAGAAAGCAUGAGGCACCUAGAUGGAUGUCAGAUGUUAGUUGUUUUUUUUCUCUUUGAGACUGAGCCAUAAUGUUUUUCUUUAUUGCACUUUCUAUAUUAGACAGAUUUCAUGAGUUCAACUUCUGUGAAACAGAAACCAGACAUUUGGUGACUAUAGUUAUCUGAAAAAAUAUAUUGCUCAGAGAAUUGAAAAGCUCUAUAUCUGAAUUGAGGCUCUCCUGACUCAAACAGCUAAUUAUUGUUAUUGGCUUACAGGAAUUUAGAGUUGGCCUGGCAGUUGGGACUCCAAUUUUAAUCAUUUCCCUGAUUAGGCACAUUAGUGAGAUAGGUGAUUCCUGGUAAGGGGCUAUCAAUUACCGCAGUCUUCAAACUAAGAAUGUCCUAAUGAAGGAAGCCAAAGACGCCUUGAAAACUCUUUGAGGAAUUUGGAAAUGGUUUGUAAUUUACCAUAGAAUCAUUAUUAUAUUUAUCAUAAUGUUCUGUACUUAUGGGGAUUAAUAGGCCUAAAUAUGAAAGGAUGCUUGCUAAUGACAUUAACAGGAGCCAUAAUUAUAAAACCUAAUUCCCAAUAAAUUCUUCAACAGUUAUUUAGUAAUCAGAUUUUUUUGAGGUUAAAUGAAAAUUAAAUAGAUGCUUUAUUUAUAGAGACAUUAGCAAUGCAAUGAUGCAUAGUCACACUCCCUGGUAACCUCAUCAGUACCAUGUCUAAGCUACAGAAGGCCUCUGGUGGCCACCAGCAGAUGGUUGGUAUCUACAGAGGCACAAGAUGAUUUGCAGAGUAAACUACAGUUUCUAAAAUGAGAGGCAUGCGGGCUCUAGUCUUGGUUGUAUUCCAGGAGAAGAGUGAUCACUUGCCACCCGCCAACAUCCAGCUAGGCUUCUGUGUCUUCAUCUACAAGAGAAGGGAUUAACUUGAAGAUAAGACAAAUGAUGCUAACAAGAUCCUCAAUGAUAUGCAUGGUUAGAGGAGUUCACAGCUCCAAAGUAGGUGAAGCUCAGCCAUAUUAGAUUCUCAUUGCUCAGUGGCAACUUAUCUGGAUUCUUGUGGAUACAGAUGUUUGGAAUUCAGGAUUUACAGAAGCUUCCUCCAUGCUAUGCAUUGGGAAACAUUCUUAGCUUUAUUUUGCUUCUGCUUCCUCUUCUGUAACAUGGUAGAUAAAUCUUCCUAUCUGGAAAGGCUGUUGUCUGAUUUGAAUUAGUUAAUAUACAGAUAAAUAGGAGAUUAGCAAAUAGGAGUAUUUUAUUCCUAAUUUUAAACUGUCUUAGUCUUUUUUUUAUUGCUAUGAUAAAAUACCGUGGCCAAGGCAACUUGCAGAAAAAAGAGAGAGACUAUCUGAAGCUCACAGUUUUAGAGGGCCAUGGUCCAUAACCAUGAUGGUGGGAAUCAUGAUAGGUAUUGUAGAGCUGUAGCAGCUCCUGACACCUCACAACCUGAUCCACAAGAAUGAGACAGAGAGCUAACUAGAAAUGGCAUGGGCUUUUGAAACCCCAAAGUCUGUUCUCAGUAACAAAUCUUCUAAUCUCCUAAUCCUUUCUGAAUUAUUCCACCUCCUGGGGAGUAAGUAUUCAAACAGUUGCGGGUAUGUGAGCCAUUUUCAUUCAAACCACUGAAAGAACAUGAAGUAUUUGUAUUACUACUUUUUAAAUCUGUUUAGAAAAGGCUACUUACAAGCAAUGAAGUAAAAUAUAUUACCAAAUUAAACACACUUCACCUGCUUCAGGAAUUACUAAAACAUAUUCCACCUGCCUAAGGAAUUAUUAAAAGGUUUUAUGAAGAGAAGAUGAAAUAUUAAUAGGUAGAUCUCAGCAAUUUUGACAUACAAAGCAAACUUUGAAGUCUACUAUCUAUUAAUAUAUUGGCAAGAGGACAUAGAGCAAAGGAGCAAGACAUCCCCCCUGUUGCUACACCCCUCUGUUCAAUUUCCUGACCCUGUGUAAAUCAUUCCCAUCUCCUCCCAUACCUGAUCCUGCCCCCUUUUGCUCUUCCUCCCUCCUCUCUUCCCUUCAAGUGUCUCCCACCCUCUACCUCCUGUGAGUAUUUUGUUCUCCCUUCUAAGUAGGACUGAAGCAUCCACACUUUAUUCUUCCUUCUUCUUGACCUUCAUAUGGUCUGUGAUUUGUAUCGUGGGUGUUUCAAACUUUUGGGCUAAUAUUCACUUGUCAGUGAGUACACACCAUGUGUGUUCUUUUGUGAGUGGGAUAGCUCACUCAGGAUGAUAUUUUCUAGUUCCAUCCUCUGGCCUGUGAAUUUCAUGAAGUCAUUGUUUUAAAUCUUGUCCAAGUUAGUUGCCUUUCUGCCACCAUAUCAAAACACCUGUAAAUAGCUAAUGCACAAAGAGAGCAAGUUUAUUUUGGCUCAGAGUUUUAGAAGCUCUGGCUUGUGACCAAUUAACCCACUGCUUUUGGCCCAGUAAGGCAGUAAAUCAAGUCAGGAACUUUUAUUAAAAACAAACCAACAAACAAACCAAAACCCUUGUCAUCUUGUUAUCUUAUGACCAGGAAGCAGGAGUCAUAUGGUCCUGAGACCAUAUUUUCUGCUUCAAGAAAGCCCCACAGUGAUCCACAGACCUCCCGUGAGUUGCCUCCUGGUAAGACACCCAUCACCUCCCAGUAGCACCACACUAGGGUCAAUUUCUUAGCCUUUGGGAUUCAUUCAACACUUAAACUAUACUAUAAUUAGCAUCUACAAAGGAAUUUGUAGACCUGAGGAUCUGUUUAGAACCUUACAUCAGAUGUGAAACCAUGCUGCUGCCUGUUGGCCUCUCAUUCACCUAAUACUCUCAUUUUCAUCCUAACUGUUAUACCAGGAAAGUUUUUGCAAAAACACAAGGCUAGGAGCUGAAGAGAGAUCUUGGUGACGACCAGACUUCUAAUGCCUAGAACCCUCGUAAAUACCACACGGGUGCGCUGGCCUCGCUAAUCCCAGUGCUCGGAAGGGAGAAUCCGUCCACACAGCUAGAAUGGCUUGGUCAGUCAGUGAGCUAUAUGUUCUAGUUAGCAACCUUAUCUCAGUAUUUGAGUUGGAGAGUGAUGAGAUGGACACCAGAUAUAUCAACCUCUGGUCUCCACAGAUGUGUAUUCACUAUACAGACUCAGAGGUGUGCGUGCACACACAUGGCACGCACACACACACACACACACACACACACACACACACAGAGAGAGAGAGAGAGAGAGAGAGAGAGAGAGCAAGAAGAGGAAGAAAUAUUGUUAAUUUAGUGCCAGUCUCACUGCUUAAUGAGACUGUGUGUCAAAAAACAAACAUACAAACAAAUAGAUAUGAAAUUAGAAAAUAAAACAAAAGAAAAAAACUACCAAAAAACCCCCACAAAUUACCUUUAUGAAGUUCUCAAAGAAUAAAAAUAAUUUUUUAAAAUGCAAAAUAGAAGUUAGAGGCCCACGGCCUAGGUGUUAUUUUUCUAAUCCCAUGCUACUUAAUGAAUAAUCACAUGUGAAUGUGUAAUGAAAGUGCAGGAUCAAAUGGCAGGCUCUGUCUUGCCUCACUACCCAUGAUUCGUCCUGUGGCAGGGGUUACAUGGCAGUAGCAUUUGGUUAGGUUCAUUUUACAGGUGAGCCCGCUUCCUGGAGCAUGCCUGCUUUGCUCCUCAGCAAGAAAGCUGAAGAGUCCACAACACAGGGCGUGUCUGUGGCAGAUAAGUGGAUUUUUUGGAAGUUACAUGUUUUUUUUUUUUAAUUUUCUAUGUGUAUGUUAUUGUGUGUAUGUGUCGCAGACAAUAUGUAUAUGCAUAUAAUAGUGGAGGGGACCAUUACAUCCACCUGGAGGUCAGAAGACACUUAGUACAGUCACUCUUUCCUUCCUAUACAUCCCAGGAAUGGAACUCAGAGACUAGGCUUGUAUAGCAAGCAGUUUACAAACUGAGCCAUUCCACCCCCACCCCCACCCCCACACCUUCACUCCGGUACCAUUUCUGUUGCUUUAAAAAAAAAAAAAAAUUUUUUUUAAAUUUUGCUUCCCUCACAUUUCUUCAUCUAUCUUCCACAAUAAGAUAUCGAUCAGCUCUUGGCAUACUCUGUCUCAUUUCCAGACAUUCUGAGUGGAGCAAAGUAGGAUUCUGCCCUUGAAAUGUCUCCUCAUUGAGAGCUGACUGGUAAACUCUGAUGGAGAUAACUCGGCCCUGCCCUCUAGUGGAGAGAAGGAUACCACAAAAACUUCCAAGCCCAGCUACUGGGAGCACUGUUUAAUUUAAAAGUGCUUUUCUAAACUGGUUGCUUAAAACUAAGACCUCAUUGUUCAUUGAUAUUAUAGGAAGCUUGGUCUCAAGUUCCUCACACCAUGAGAAUGUAACACUCAGUGAGUCCCUGAGGCAGAUUGUAUUGUACAAUAAUCAAGGGACCUGCGUAUUAAAUUUUAUACAGCAACGUUGAUGCAGACACCACUAAUUUAGAUACCACAAAACCACCUUUCAGUAAAUAAGUUUCAAUGAGACUGCCUUGGCUUCAGGUCACUUUAGUAGUUUCCUUUAUCUGAGCAGGGAGUUGGCUGGAUGAAGUGUGGAACAUUGGUAAUAAGAGAGUAAGAGAUUGUGUUUCCUCGAUAGUCUCACAUAUCCACGAUGUCUCUGUCUGUGUCUGUCUGUCUGUCUUUGCUCUGCUCCUUCCCUCCCUUGUUUCCUCCUUUUCUUCCCAUCUGCCUCUUCCUCUCCCUCUUCUUUUACCUCCAUACUACAUGCAUGCUAAGCACAUGCUAUAUUGCCGAGGUAACCUGGAACCCUUAGAUAAUCUUAAUCAAUGCAUUUCCCUUGACCAACUAUUAACUCUCCGUUGAACUUAAGAAGCAGUGAUGCGACAAGUCAGACCUAAUGAGGAAGGUCAGAUUUUAGUACUGCAGUCAACCGAGACAUGAGAAGAAAGAAUGGGAAAGGGAUAAAAGCCGCUUAUUAGGAGUGGCACCUAUGGAGAAAAAGUUAAGGCAAUUGCUUUGAAUCUUGGCCAGUUGGCUGUGAGUAUAAAAAUAUCCAUAAUUUACUGAGCACCUAAUGUGGACCACCUACUAUGCUAGCCCUUACUGGCAUCGCCUCCCUUUAAUCUUAACCACAGCUAUUUCCUGUCAGGACCCUAUCAACUCUGUUUUCUGGAGGAGUCACAGAGGGAGUGAAACAUUAUCUUGCCUAAGGUUGUAACCUUGCCUAAGGUUGUGGGUGAUGAAGCUUCAAUAUCUCUGUGCCUGUUCAAUUCUGAAGCUAUUUCCCAAAGCACACACAGAUGGGGGAUCUCCACCUACAGGGGUUUUCUAUUGAGAGGGCAGAAUACUCUGCCCCACACUGUGGCUAGGGCAGUGAUGAGGGUCUUUCCUUCUCUGUGAUUUCAUGAUCUAUUAUUGUUUUAUUGUUGUAAGAUUGGUAGCAAAGACCUUACCCCCAUAUUACAGACCACUCCCUCAGUGUUUUGUUUUACACAUGUUCUUGUGUACCUAGGAAAGAACAACUUUACACUCAUAGAAUUAUAGUCACAUUCUAAAACUACAAAUACUCAUAACAAAAAUCCAAUACUGACAGUUAAUUUAAAAGCUUAAUAUCUCCAAGUUUAAAUUUUGUUUUACAAAUAUCAUUUAUGCCUCAAGACCUUUAUUUUGUCCCUUAUGGAAUGGAGGAAAACACUUCCAUGAAGACCAACAGGAACGAUUGUGAAGUUAUAUGCAAUAAUCAGACUUUAAUAUCUUCAACAAAGAACAACUGCUGCUUUUAAGAUAUUGUUUUACUACGAUUAUUAUUGCUUUUAAAACUAGAAGCAAAAGUGCCUCCUCAGGUAGCCAUGAGAACACACUUACAGUACAAGUUAUAAAUGAGCAGCUCUGAGUGACAAUGCUCAUGGCCCAAUCUUCUUGCUGACUAUGCCAAAAAAAAGAAAAAAGAAAAGAAAAGAAAAAAAAAACACUUGAACGAAAAUAUCUAUUUUUACAAAUAUAUAUUCUUGAUGCUAUUAUUCUGUAUUUUUAUUAAUGUAAGAGAAGCUAACUCUUGACAGUACUAAUUACUACUUUCUCUAAUACACAUUACCAUGUGACUCUUCUGACUAUAAAGACAGGUCUUAGAGCUGGGAAGAUGGAUCCAUCUGUAAAGUGCUUAUGCCUGAGGAUCUCCAUCUGGACCUCUGGCAUCCAUGUAAAAAGCUGGGUGUGGCAGUGGAGUCCUGCAGUCAUAACACUAGUAGGGCAGAGACACAUGGCUUUCUGGCCAGAUUGACCAAGUUGGUUAACUACAGUUUAUAUAAGAGGCCCUCUCAGAAAAUACAGGGAGGAGAGUGAGAACAACACCUGACAUAGACCUCUGGAUUCCACAUGCAUACAAACACACCCAUAUACAAACAUACAUGCAUACAAAAACGGUGCACACACAAACAUACACAUACACAAAGCACAACUCAUACUUUACAAAUAGUACUUUUUAAACUGUGUCAGCUCUUCUCUGGUAUUAGAAAUAUUUGCAAGAGAUGUGAAAAAAAAUGGGUAUAACUGGAAGUAAAGCCCAAGAGUGGGUGAAAAUUCCAAACGUGCAAUCAGUGGGUCUGUGAACUCCAUUCUGUUUAGCCUCUAUUAACGGGCAAAACAGGCUUAAAAUCAUAUGUAGAUGAUCUCAGAAGCUUGUAGAUACAUCCAUUUUCAUCCACCUGCACUCUCUCCACAUCGUAAUUCCGAGAAAGUUGAUGUUCAAUUCAUUGCCACCACUGAAUAAAAUUCAGAAUACAGCAGUCAAUUUCUGAACUCUUUCCAAGAUAGAUUAGCAGUAAGAACAGGAUGGAAAUCUAGCUUUGCUUUACUUGACAGGAAAUGAUCCAGGAGAAGAAACUCUGUUGGCUUCUUAAAUAUCAUGUCAUGUUCUAGUCAGGUAGACAAGGUUCCAAGGCUCUAAAUCUCUUUGUCUUUGCAAAAAAUAAUUUUAAUUAAUUAAUAAAUUAAUUAACUGCAAAGUACCCUUCUAGGAUUCCUCCGGGAAAUGAUAUGGGAAAUAUUUAACAUUCUCCUGGCUGUUUAAUUCUCACCAGGCAUUGUCCUGCUCCAAACAUUCCACUGCUUCUCACCCCCGUUUCUUAACCAACAUAAACUGCUGAACCAAGAACUUAUCUCAGUUGAAAUAUUUUCUGACAAAAAAACCUGCUGACCAGUUCCUUAAAUUUAGUUUGCCAUCCUUCAUUAGUAACUUCUUAUUAAUUCUAUCAUUCGAGAAUGUACAUAUUACAAUAUCAGUAACUUUAAGUACACAGCUCAUUAAUUCCUAGAAGAAAAUCAAGACUCUUAUUUAAGUUGUGUGCAUUGA